rnacentral:rRNA from 1 species
AGAGUUUGAUCCUGGCUCAGGAUGAACGCUGGCGGUAUGUUUAAGGCAUGCAAGUCGAGGGAUCCAAUUAUUUACUUAGUUGGAGACCGGCAAACGGGGGAGUAACACAUUGGUAACCUACCUUUCACUUGGGGACAGCUCGCCGAAAGGCGAAUUAAUACCCAAUAGACCUGCCCACUUCGGUGUGGCGUGGUAAAGCUCAGGCGGUGAAAGAGGGGCCUAUGUCUUAUCAGCUAGUUGGUAGGGUAAUAGCCUACCAAGGCGAUGACGAGUAUCGGGUGUGAGAGCAUGACCCGACCCACUGGGACUGAGACACUGCCCAGACACCUACGGGUGGCUGCAGUCAAGAAUCUUCCACAAUGGACGCAAGUCUGAUGGAGCAAUACCGCGUGAAGGAUGAAGUCUUUCGGGAUGUAAACUUCUUUUAUUAGAGACAAACUUUGAUGGUACCUAAUGAAUAAGUGGCUGCUAACUUCGUGCCAGCAGCAGCGGUAAUACGAAGGCCACAAGCGUUAUCCGGAAUUAUUGGGCGUAAAGGGUCCGCAGGUUGUUCGGUAAGUCAGUUGUUAAAUAUAUGGGCUUAACCCAUAUGCCGCGAUUGAUACUGCCGGACUAGAGGGUGGAUGAGGUACGCGGAAUGGCUGGUGUAGUAGUAAAAUGCGUUAAUAUCAGCUAGAACACCAAAUGCGAAGGCAGCGUACUAGGACACUCCUGACACUCAGGGACGAAAGCGUGGGUAGCGAAUGGGAUUAGAUACCCCAGUAGUCCACGCCCUAAACGAUGGAUGCUAGGUAUUGGAGGAUUCGACCCCUUCAGUGCCGUUUAACGAAGUUAACACCUUAAGCAUCCCGCCUGGGAAGUACGAUCGCAAGAUUAAAACUCAAAGGAAUUGACGGGAGCCCGCACAAGCGGUGGAGCACGUGGUUUAAUUCGACGGUAAGCGAAGAACCUUUACCAGGGUUUGACAUGCUAGCUGCAAGCUUUGAGAAAUCAGAGCCGCUCUUGAAGGUGCUAGCACAGGUGCUGCAUGGUUGUCGUCAGCUCGUGUCGUGAGAUGUUGGGUUAAGUCCUCUAACGAGCGCAACCCUUAUCCUAUGUUUACAUAUCCAUGGGAGACUGCCUGGGUUUAACCAGGAGGAAGGUGGGGAUGACGUCAAAUCAGCAUGGCCCUUAUAUCCUGGGCGACACACAUGCUACAAUGGCCGGUACAAAGGGUAGCCAACCCGCGAGGGGGAGCCAAUCCUAUUAAAACCGGUCUCAGUUCGGAUUGAAGUCUGCAACUCGACUUCAUGAAGCUGGAAUCGCUAGUAAACGUGGAUCAGCCACGCCACGUUGAAUACGUUCUCGGGCUUUGUACACACCGCCCGUCAAGCCAAGGGAGUCGGUAAUACCCGAAGUCUCCGUUUAUACGGGGCCGAAGGUAGGAUCGGUGACAGGGGCUAAGUCGUAACAAGGCA